UGCUCCAACUCCCUAGUGCGGGCAUACCAAACCUCAUCAGGGGGUUCAUAACCACUAAGCCCGAAACUCCCCUCAAUCUUCUUCCGCUUCCUUGCCUCAGGAUCUCUCCCUUCCAGCUCCGCCACAAACUCUGCUGGUAAUGCCUUCCUCACUGCCUCUGCCGCCUGCUCCUCAAUUCGUUGUGCAUCCCUCUUCUGAGCCAACGGGUUCGGAUCAACCGUCGCCCACCGCACGUUGAGUACCUCAUUAUGAUCUAGGCUCUGAUGAGACAUUGCCUCCUUGGCGAACUGUGAAUUUGCCUCAUUGGUAUACGUCACAAACGCCACGCCUCGAGAAUUCAACACACGGAUGCGUUC
rnacentral:sRNA from 1 species